AACGAACGCUGGCGGCAGGCUUAACACAUGCAAGUCGAGCGCCCCGCAAGGGGAGCGGCAGACGGGUGAGUAACGCGUGGGAAUCUACCCAUCUCUACGGAAUAACGCAUGGAAACGUGUGCUAAUACCGUAUACGUCCUUCGGGAGAAAGAUUUAUCGGAGAUGGAUGAGCCCGCGUUGGAUUAGCUAGUUGGUGGGUAAAGGCCUACCAAGGCGACGAUCCAUAGCUGGUCUGAGAGGAUGAUCAGCCACACUGGGACUGAGACACGGCCCAGACUCCUACGGGAGGCAGCAGUGGGGAAUAUUGGACAAUGGGCGCAAGCCUGGUCCAGCCAUGCCGCGUGAGUGAUGAAGGCCCUAGGGUUGUAAAGCUCUUUCACCGGUGAAGAUAAUGACGGUAACCGGAGAAGAAGCCCCGGCUAACUUCGUGCCAGCAGCCGCCGUAACAC
rnacentral:rRNA from 1 species